rnacentral:rRNA from 1 species
GUGCCUAACACAUGCAAGUCGAACGAGAAAGUGGAGCAAUCCAUGAGUAAAGUGGCGACCGGGUGAGUAACACGUGACUAACCUACCUUCGAGUGGGGAAUAACCUCGGGAAACCGGGGCUAAUACCGCAUAAUGUCUUCGGACCAAAGGAGCAAUUCGCUGGAAGAGGGGGUCGCGGCCGAUUAGCUAGUUGGCGGGGUAACGGCCCACCAAGGCCAUGAUCGGUAGCCGGCCUGAGAGGGCGCACGGCCACACUGGAACUGAAACACGGUCCAG